UACGGGGGGGGGCAAGCGUUGUUCGGAAUUACUGGGCGUAAAGGCGCGUAGGCGGCCCGCUAAGUCGAACGUGAAAUCCCCCAGGCUCAACCUGGGAACUGCGUCCGAUACUGGCAGGCUUGAAUCCGGGAGAGGGAUGUGGAAUUCCAGGUGUAGCGGUGAAAUGCGUAGAUAUCUGGAGGAACACCGGUGGCGAAGGCGGCA
rnacentral:rRNA from 1 species